UGAGAUGAUGAUCGCACUGGGCUCUGAGCAGUUUAUUAAUAAAACUGUUUAUAUUGAUGCACAAUUGCUGCCUAGAAAGCUAUAUCUGAUCA